AAGUCCAGGUUGUUCCCCGAGCGAACGUGCACCCUCAACUCUGUAGUGCCUGAGAAGCCACAUUAAAGCCCAAUCGUGUGUGCAUUGGUGUCCCUGAAUUUGUCAUGGAAGUUUUGAUUAGUUUGGGUUGGUUUCUGGCAUGCAAAUUUCACUCACUACACAUUCACUCGCAACAAUAACUAUCUUGUUUCAGAUGCAGCGUCAGGCUGUUAUGACAACUUGUGUAGUCACUCCCCACUGCUCUGCUCCGUGGCGGAUCCUCCUAUGACUGGCUUCCCCCACCACUACUGCAAUACCUCCUGACUACCCCUGCAUCACCCAGCCGCGGUGGUCUGCUCCUCCUGGAUUGCACUCAUCAGCAGGUCAAGCACAAAGCUCGUGGCACCUUCUUGUACUAGUGCGCGAUUUAUUUGGAUUAAAAAUUUUGUUUUUGCGAAGGUUAAGAUGUUGUGUUGCAGAAGGUCGAGUGUGUAUUGUAUAUGUGUGUGUGUGUGUGUUUUAAAUGCAUACCUUCAUUGCAAAACAGUAUGUUCAUUCUUUGA